AGGUGCGAUCGUACCAGAACUAAUACACUGGAUCCCCUAAAAAAUUCACAAUGAAGCAUGCUCGGACGUGAGUAGUACUGUGAUGGGUGACCUCCUGGGAAGUCUGUUAGGUAUUAG
rfam:Lupinus angustifolius cultivar Tanjil contig_1835, whole genome shotgun sequence.